rnacentral:rRNA from 1 species
CAGUCGCCGCGGUAAAACGGAGGGUGCAAGCGUUAAUCGGAAUUACUGGGCGUAAAGCGCACGCAGGCGGUCUGACAAGUCAGAUGUGAAAUCCCCGGGCUUAACCUGGGAACUGCAUUUGAAACUGUCAGGCUGGAGUCUUGUAGAGGGGGGUGGAAUUCCAGGUGUAGCGGUGAAAUGCGUAGAGAUCUGGAGGAAUACCGGUGGCGAAGGCGGCCCCCUGGACAAAGACUGACGCUCAGGUGCGAAAGCGUGGGGAGCAAACAGGAUUAGAUACCCGAGUAGUCUCUGUCUCUUAUAC